rnacentral:sRNA from 1 species
UCUGAGUUUAUUGGUUCGACAUCCUGUC